ACGCGAGGAACCUUACCAGGUCUUGACAUCCCACUGACCGCUAUGGAAACAUAGCUUUCCCUUCGGGGACAGUGGUGACAGGUGGUGCAUGGUUGUCGUCAGCUCGUGUCGUGAGAUGUUGGGUUAAGUCCCGCAACGAGCGCAACCCUUGUUCUUAGUUGCCAGCAUGUAAGGCUGGGCACUCUAGGGUGACUGCCGGUGACAAACCAGAAGAAGGUGGAGAUGACGUCAAAUCAUCAUGCCCCUUAUGACCUGGGCUACACACGUGCUACAAUGGAUGGUACAAAGGGCAGCAAAGCGGUGACGCGUAGCAAAUCCCAUAAAACCAUUCUCAGUUCGGAUUGUAGGCUGCAACUCGCCUACAUGAAGCCGGAAUCGCUAGUAAUCGCGGAUCAGCAUGCCGCGGUGAAUACGUUCCCGGGCCUUGACACACCGCCCGU
rnacentral:rRNA from 1 species